rnacentral:rRNA from 1 species
CCUACGGGGGGCUGCAGUGAGGAAUAUUGGUCAAUGGGCUUACGCCUGAACCAGCCAAGUCGCGUGAGGGAAGACUGCUCUAUGGGUUGUAAACUUCUUUUGUCAGGGAGUAAUUGGCGCUACGUGUAGCGUUAUCGAGAGUACCUGAAGAAAAAGCAUCGGCAAACUCCGUGCCAGCACCCGCGGUAAUACGGAGGACGCGGGGGUUAUCGGGAUUUAUUGGGUUUAAAGGUUAGGUAGGGGGAAUGUCAAGUCAGCGGUAAAAUCGCGGGGCUCAACCUCGCUCCGCCGUUGAUACUGGCGUUCUUGAGUGGACGAGAGGUAUGCGGAAUGCGUGGUGUAGCGGUGAAAUGCAUAGAUAUCACGCAGAACUCCGAUUGCGAAGGCAGCAUACCGGCGCCCAACUGACGCUGAGGCACGAAAGCGUGGGUAUCGAACAGGAUUAGAUACCCUGGUAGUC